GGGCCCGCACAAGCGGUGGAGCAUGUGCUUUAAUUCGAUGCAACGCGAAGAACCUUACCUGGACUUGACAUGGGGGUGAAAGCUUUCAGAAAUGAGAGACCUUCCGCAAGGAACACCCCACACAGGUGCUGCAUGGUUGUCGUCAGCUCGUGUCGUGAGAUGUUGGGUUAAGUCCCGCAACGAGCGCAACCCUCGCCCUUAGUUGCCAUCAGGUUAUGCUGGGAACUCUAAGGGGACUGCCUGGUUUAACCAGGAGGAAGGUGGGGAUGACGUCAAAUCCUCAUGGCCCUUACGUCCAGGGCUAGACACGUGCUACAAUGGCAGAUACAGCGGGAUGCAAGCUGGUGACAGCAAGCUAAUCCCUUAAAAUCUGUCUCAGUUCGGAUUGAAGUCUGCAAUUCGACUUCAUGAAGCUGGAAUCGCUAGUAAUCGCGGAUCAGCAUGCCGCGGUGAAUACGUUCCCGGGCCUU
rnacentral:rRNA from 1 species